rnacentral:rRNA from 1 species
GACGAACGCUGGCGGCGUGCCUAAUACAUGCAAGUAGGACGCAGUUGCGAACGGGUGAGUAACGCGUAGGUAACUGCCUAUUAGAGGGGGAUAACUAUUGGAAACGAUAGCUAAUACCGCAUACUAGUAGAUGGACCUGCGUUGGAUUAGCUAGUAGGUCGGGUAAUGGCCUACCAAGGCAACGAUACAUACACGAACUGAGAGGGUGAUCGGCCACACUGGAACUGAGACACGGCCCAGACUCCUACGGGAGGCAGCAGUAGGGAAUCUUCGGCAAUGGGGGGAACCCUGACCGAGCAACGCCGCGGGAGUGAAGAAGGUUUUCGGAUCGUAAAGCGCUGUUGUUAAGGAAGCGGUACUUAACCAGAAAGGGACGGCUAACUACGGGCCAGCAGCCGCGGUAAUUC